AAACAUAUUGGUGCCAGCCAGCCUCAGAAACUUGAGCCUUGCUUAGUCCAUUUUCUGGAAUGUUCUUUUCCAGAUCCUUAUGUGGCUGUCUUCUGCUUAUUCUCUCAGGAGAUCUUAUCUUGAAGCAUUAAGAGCAAGAACACUGGAGCCAGCCUGCCUGGGCUCAAACCCCAGCUCUGUGUGCCUGAGUGGAUGGACAGUUAUGAAAAUCAAAUAAGCCAGUGCAUGUAAAAUCUUAGAAUAAUGCCUAUUGCAUGAGGUGAUAGAGAUCUGGCUUCUCACAGACAGCAGAACUUCAAAAGGAAUUGAGUUAUGGAUAAUGAUGAUGAAGAGCUCAGCAGAGCCAUGAAGACCGGAAGAUAAAACCGGUGCCAAGUCAGUUACAGACUUCCCAUCCUGACUGCUCACCAUGUGGACCAGGGUAACUUCAGCCGGAGAGCAGCAUAGGGUGUCCUGAUGUCUGGCAUGCUGCCUGGUGGGCAAUCCUCCAUCCAUUACCCUGUUGGUUCUUCCAUUUGGCCAUCGGUCCCCAGUCUAGGGAGUGCCAGAGGCCAAGGCAACCAGGAGCAGCUGGGGCACCUCCCAGGCCAGCCUGUCCCCUUCCUGCCCACACCAACCAGGCAGCCUCUUCCUCCUGCCCACUGCUUGCACCAGCUUCUCUACCCAGAGA